GUGGGAGGGGUUGCUAGGGGCAGGGGGAGUUAUUAUUUGUAUGGCUACGGGAGCAGCGCCGCCCAGGGUCAGGGGCAAGUGGGGUAGUUUGCCCCGGCGGCGGGGGGCCCCUCAGUGCUGGCGAAGACGCGGGCCGCCCCCGGGACUUGAAUCCUACAUCACUUUUUAGAAAAACCUCUUGAAAUUCUACCAGUAAAGUGGUUAGAGAUACAGGGGAGUUCUCUGCCCUGUGUAACAAAGCUUUCCUGCUGGUACUAUACUGAUGGUUUAUUUACAUUACUACUAUCACCAUCCUCUCUCCCUCCACGUGCACAACAACAGAAGAAAAUGACAUUAAUAAUGCCUGUGUGAAGUUACCUGUUACUAAUACUAACAGGUCAUUUGACAAUUCAUGCCACUAUGAGUCGUUUGGAGCAAGACUUAGAGAGUCCCUCCAUGUGCACGGUCACUCAAUUUGUAUUUUUAUUUUUCAUUUUUUUGCCUUCCACCAAAGGAUCUUAAGGUAUUUGGUCUUUGUCGUAAUACUUGUGUUUUGUAUGGAGCUGAGCAAGCUCUAUGCUUAAUCAAUAAGUGACUAUAUAAAUCUAAAAUAUCCCAGCCUAUAAAAAAACUGCUUGAUUCCUAUAGGAUGAUAGAAAUUAGAGAGGAUGUAGAUAUAUUAAAUGACAAUCCAUCCUGAAAGCACAGGAGGUAAUCUCCCCAUUGAACACAUACCACUUUAAUUGAUACUGAAUUUGGAACAAAUUUCAGUGCUAGAGUAAGCAGGAUUAUGCUUAUGGUGUUGUACUCUAUAUGAUUUUAUGAAAAUAUGCUAAUGAGUGUGAAUAUAAUGUAACUGGAAGAUGCUUCAUGCAAAAGGUCUCGUAAGGUAUCUUUACAAAGCUUAUAAUCUACUGAGUGUGGUCAUCCUCUUUGUAUAAAUGUAUCACUCUUGUAUCUGAAAGUAGAAAUAUGAAAUAUAACUCUGAGGUCCUAUUGUAGUUGUGCAAAGUGUGGGCCAUUACUGGUGGUUUGGAAUCUUGAGGAAUCUCAUUAACCAGGACAAUUGAGUAUGGAUGGCUCUGUUUCCUUGCAGGCCUUCCUGUGAGUCAGGCUAGGAGGAAUGAAGGUUUGGAGUCUUACAGUGACGUGAUCACAUCACCUGAACUGGAAUCCAUCUUUAACAUGGAGCUUUAUACAGGGUAAAACAGAUUUAUUUGGGGUUUCAACCCCAUUGGGAGCUGGGUAUCUGAGUGUUGGAGACAGGAGCACUUCUUAAGCUGUUUUCAGUUAAGCUUGCAGGGAUGUGGUUCAGACCUGGAUCUGUGUCUGUAGCAGGCUAGCGUGUCUAGCUCAAACUAGCGCAGGGCACUGAAGCCUCAAGCUGCCAGGGAAAACGGGCUCAGAGUUAGUCUUGACACAUCAGGUGGCAGUCCCCAAAGGGGAUUCUGUGACCCAACCCGUCACAAUGCCCUAUUGAAGUCUGUGGAAAUUGAUUCUGGUUACACCAGUACACGUCACUGUUUCUCUCUACUUUGCGUUUUUCUGAGCCCAAAACUACAGAAAAACUACUUGAACUGUUUC
rnacentral:lncRNA from 1 species